rnacentral:rRNA from 1 species
UACGGGGGGGGGCAAGCGUUGUUCGGAAUUACUGGGCGUAAAGGGUGCGUAGGCGGGUUCUUAAGUCAGAGGUGAAAUCCUGGAGCUCAACUCCAGAACUGCCUUUGAUACUGAGAGUCUUGAGUAUGACAGAGGUGAGUGGAACUGCGAGUGUAGAGGUGAAAUUCGUAGAUAUUCGCAAGAACACCAGUGGCGAAGGCGGCUCACUGGGUCAUUACUGACGCUGAGGCACGAAAGCGUGGGGAGCAAACAGG